GUUUCGGUAGUGUAGUGGUGACGACGUUCGCCUCACACGCGAAAGGUCCCGGGUUGGAAACCCGGCGGAAAUA
rnacentral:tRNA from 1 species